CGCAUUCGGGAAUCGCAACUCGAUGCCUGUCACGCUACCUCACUCGAUCAAUCAAGUGCGACAGCGCAUCUGUCAUACUUGAUUGGUCGAUAUUUCAUAUGAUCUGCAUUAAUUUACAUAAUGUAAGUCAUGGUUUAAUUCAAACAAUUCAAACUCGCGCCACUCCCACUUCGGUGUUUGAUUAUUUGGAGAUACGCUACACUGCAACUUGGUGGAGAUGAAGCAAGUGAAAGGAAGUUGCAAUUUACGAGAGUUUAAAAAUUCAGAGAUUGGAGGGACACUGACUUUGAAUGGUCUCAGAUUAUGUUUAUUUUUUUAAAAAACUAUUAUUUCCUUAUAAUCGCCUUUGGCAAGCUUUAUUUUCUAUAGCUGAAAUGAUAUUUAAUUUUGGCAGAAUUUUUGGAAAAUUUAUUAUUUAUUUGUUUAUUAAUAGUUUGUCAAACUAUUAAUAAACCAUUUAUUGUUUUGCAAAACACUUUCCUUCCAUCCGUAAGAAAAAUGUAAAAAUCCUUCAUGAGUGCCCCAAAAGAAAGAAGCUUGACUUAUAAGAGAAGUUGGAGAUCACAAAGGGCAAAAAGGAGUCCUGUACUGUCUUGUGUGAAUGAUGUUUUUACCUUUGAACCGCAUUUAAUUUUAAACAAUCUUAAUCACGACCUGGAUAGCACGUAAAUUUAGCGCUUGCCUACGAACCCGAUGAGCGCUGGUUUAAUUCUCCACCAAGUCAUUUUUAUUUGUUGCUUUAUUUCAGUUCUUCCGUUCAACUUAACCUCAUUCUGCUUGUUUUUUUUUUACUUUUAUUUUAUUUAGUUUUGAAACCGGAUAUAAUGUGAACGUCAGCAAUAUUUUUUAUAUAUUUUUUUUUUUAAAUAAACAUAAUCUAGAGACCAUUGACUUUGUGUCCCUCCAAUCUCUGAAUUUUUAUUAUUAAGAGGUCUCUUUAAGAAAAAUGGACUACUUUUUUGAAUUACGAGAGUUUACUGUACACUUAUCGCAAGAAAAUCUACAGCAUAAAGGAACAAUGAAAGUAAAUUUAGUUUUGGCGGAACAUUAUAAUUAGUGUUAACCAAUCGAUAAACGAACACCGCAUCUGUUAAUUGCCGUCUAUCAGAGAGUGAGAAGAGGUAAAAACUAAGUUUAUGGGUUUCAAUGGUCAGCCGUAUAAUGAUGCUGCACUGCAAAUAUAUAUUCAAAAUAGUUGAAUAGAAGUCCAUAUUCUGUAGAAGAAUGUGUAUAUAAAGAUUACAAAAUGGGAGUCUUUAUCUCCAAGAAAAAUGCAUGUAGGUCAUCUGGAAUUUUGAAUGUAUAAACUGCCAAAAUUACUAUCUUACUAUAUUAUACCUUAGCUUUCAGAAUAUUAUUUUUAUUUCGGAUUUAUUCACAUUGUUUUGCUAAAAUAAAUAUCAAUUAAAUUAA